rnacentral:rRNA from 1 species
ACGAACGCUGGCGGCAUGCCUAACACAUGCAAGUCGAACGAGAUCUUCGGAUCUAGUGGCGCACGGGUGCGUAACGCGUGGGAAUCUGCCCUUCGGUUGGGAAUAACACAGAGAAAUUUGUGCUAAUACCUUAUAAUGUCUUCGGACCAAAGAUUUAUCGCCGAGGGAUGAGCCCGCGUAGGAUUAGGUAGUUGGUGGGGUAAUGGCCUACCAAGCCGACGAUCCUUAGCUGGUCUGAGAGGAUGAUCAGCCACACUGGGACUGAGACACGGCCCAGACUCCUACGGGAGGCAGCAGUGGGGAAUAUUGGACAAUGGGCGAAAGCCUGAUCCAGCAAUGCCGCGUGAGUGAUGAAGGCCUUAGGGUUGUAAAGCUCUUUUACCAGGGAUGAUAAUGACAGUACCUGGAGAAUAAGCUCCGGCUAACUCCGU